rnacentral:rRNA from 1 species
GACGAACGCUGGCGGCGUGCUUAACACAUGCAAGUCGAGCGGAGCGGCGAACGGGUGAGUAACGCGUGAGUAACUGCCCCCCUCUCUGGGAUAACAGUUGGAAACGGCUGCUAAUACCGGUUAGUGGGGGAUGACUCGCGUCCUAUCAGCUUGUGGGGGGGGUAGUGGCAUACCAAGGCGACGACGGGUAGCCGGCCUGAGAGGGCGACCGGCCAAAUUGGGCUGAGGUACGGCCCAAACGCCUACGGGAGGCAGCAGUGGGGAAUAUUGAACAAUGGGCGAAAGCCGGAUGCAGCGACGACGCGGGGGGGAUGAAGGCUUUCGGGUUGUAAACCUCUUUCGCUAUCGAACAGGUAGGUGGAGAAGAAGCGCCGGCUAACUACGUGCCAGCAGCCGCGGUAAUUC